GUCGUCAUCAAAACCCAAGUUUUCUUCACAGCUUGGCAGCAGUUGCCUUCGAUCGCUUGUCCCGUUCAAGACCUCUUCAGAAUGUGCGGCUCUUGCACUGCUCACAUGGAGUAUCGCAAUGUGCUCCUGUGGCAAGCAGUUGCCAGUGGUGAUGUCUCUGACUUCGUUUUGCACAAUCAGUCGCUUGAAUGCUGCGGCGAACUGUUGGGCACUAGGAUUGUCAUUGCACCGUCCAUGGGAUCUGAUAGCACCAAAGAAAAGUUCGAGAUGAUCUUGGCUCACCUUAUGAGAUGCCCAAGAAUCCAGUCUUCCGAUUGGUCUUCAGUAGUGGGAUGCCAUUUGGAUGUUCUCUCAGGCUGGACAGCGCAUUUCUCACGAGCUUCAGCAUAUGACAAGGAUCCAUGAAAACGACAA